rnacentral:lncRNA from 1 species
CUUUGUAAUUCCGUCGAACAUGAUUUUAUUUGUGUAUAUGGUAGAAUAUUAUAAAAAAGAAAAACAUUUUAUGGUCUAAAAGUUUUAGAAGAUUAAGAGCUUCUAUUUCUUCUUUUAAUUCUUUCAACCUUUCUUCAUGUAAAUAUUUCUCGAAAUAUUUUCCUUUUAUUUUUUUUCUUUAUUAUGCUUCUUUUUUUUAUUGGUUUAAAUCCUUUUUUGGUCCCUAAGUUAAGUUCUGAUGUUCAUUUUAGUCCCCGCUUUUAAAAAUGUCAACCUUUAGUCCCUAUGAUAUGAAAAAUGUAUCAAAUAAGUUAUCAUGACAUCACUUAAUGAACAAUAAAUCACAAGUUUUCAUACCUAGAUAUCCAAUAUUUUGUUAUUUGUUAACGGGAGGUGUUAUGAACAACAAAUCACUUAAUGAAAAACUUGUGAUUUGUUAACAAAUAGGACUGAUUUGAUACAUUUUUCAUAUCAUAGGGACUAAAGGUUGACAUUUUUAAAAGCGGAGACUAAAUUGAACAUCAGAACUUGACCAAAAAAGGAUUUAAACCUUUUUAUUUAUCCUUGAAGUCUCAUUUU